UGCCGGCUUAGCACAGCGGUAGUGCAGCGGUUUUGUAAACCGAAGGUCGGGGGUUCGAUCCCCUCAGCCGGCACCAU
rnacentral:tRNA from 1 species